UUUGAAAUCGGAUCAGGAAUGGAUAGCCGCAG
rnacentral:rRNA from 1 species